GCGCAUGUCCUUCACAGAAACCUGUAAUGUAAAAAGGUUAGUUCGUGGUCAUAAAAAGGAUUCUCUCAUAGUACAUACACGCUAUUACACGCUUUGCAACACUGGAUAUUUUUAACAUGUUGACUAAGUCCUUGCUGUCUAGUCUCAUGUGAACAAAUUCUUCGGGUGCCCUUGUUUGAGAGGGAUGUCGACUGAUGUCUUCGACUUGACUAGGAUCUAACUCUGGAUUCUCUAAUCCUUUCCAUUUUGUGCUUACUCUAGCUGAAGGUAUGUUUACCGAUAACUGCAAUUCGCCUGACAUGUUGGCUGACAUUAUAAUACGGUCUGAAAGACUCUUGUAUUUGUCCACGACGUGUCUUAGAAAAUUCAGUUGUGGAAGGAAUAUAUGACAGUCUGGUUCAGGAGCAGUUGGUUCCUUAAUAACUGACACGUAUGAUUGUGAUAGUACUCGAACAGGUAUAUUAUGAGUCACAAUAUUCGAACCAAACGCCCUUCCACUCCAAGUGGUAGACAACGAAAGUAAUGGCUGGUUAUUCUUCUUGGAUAGACGAACAGUAGAAUCACUAGCGUUGGCCGCUGAUCGUAAGGCUUUAUAGAAAUUAUCUAUAGGAACUUCUAGAUUUAUCACGUUGUCUGCAUUGCUUUGGACGACAUAGUCCUCAAAUAUUGUUUCCUUUCCGUUUACGUUAGUUAGGGCAAUCAAAUAGAAAAAGAUAGUUAAUCAUACGACUUCUAAAACUCUGUUUCUUUAUUAGUUUCACAAUGUGAUUUUUUUCACCGUUAAAUGCUUAAUAUCUUCACUUACGACCAAACUUGAGUCAUCCUAAAAUCUGGCACUAUCACAAAAUUUACAGUUUCAGGCAUCAGACGAAGCCAGCAAAAUCUUCCAAUUUUAUCUAGCGCCUGAACAAGACCUAAAUUUGAUUAGUAAACGAACUUUCUGCUGAUCUUUUCCAACUUACGCGUCAACGUGUACAAGUUGCUAAUCCUUGUUUUAAAUCUCAUUUUCAGUCUUUGAUUUAACUAAUGAGAUUGAGAUUUUUUGGCAUUUUGUUUAUUCAAGCGUUUAGCAGGUUAAAGUCGACCAAUAAUAAAUUUUCGGUCGAAAAAACUACGAACGCGUAAAAGCCAGCUAAGAAAUAGCAAACUGGGCAUUAGCAACUGCAUCGCAAUCUUUAUUAAGCAAAUGCAAAUUUUAAUGGCAAGUGGAAUAAAAUUAAUGAAUAAAAUUUAAAAAGAUUUACAAAAGUCUUAGAGUCUAAAAAAAAUUAUACUCAAGAGCCUAUUCGUUGUAUCAUUUAUUUCAUACGAUUAGCUAUUCCUAAAUUUUAAAUUACAUUAAAAAAAUAAAUGGCAAGUAAGAAGGGUUCUAGCUAGAGCAGGAACAUUGAAUUUGGCUUUUGGAGGGAGUAGUGUUAUAGCAUAAAUAAUCCUCUUCUUCCUUGGAAAACCCCCAAGUAUCUUCGAACGGACAGGCAGCCAUUUUACACACUUUUUUAAAAAGCUCAAAUUUCCCGAUGUAUGCUUCUUUAAUCACCUCUUCAAGAACCCAAUUUCUAAGAGUAAAAUGUGGGUUGACUUUUUUCAUGCUCGCUAAUCGGGAUGAAUCUUCCUGAGUUUUCGUUGCUUCACUAUAUCGACCAACCCAAUUAGUGAAAGCUUUGACAGAUUCAUUUCUAACUCUUUCAUUAUUCGGGUUUAGACAAAUACAUGCUUGCAUCAAUUUUGCAGCAUAUUCUUCAUUCUCCAUUGAAGAGGGAGAGUUUCUAGAAAGAAAGGAAAAACAAUUUGGCAUAUCCAAUUCAUAAUCCUCCAAAAUUUGUAACAAAUCAGUUAUCAGAAUUUUGUUAGAUGAGUCAGAGGGAAGACCCACUCGUUUGAACAUAAGAUCAUAGAAAUCAUUCUGGACAAUAUUUUUAUACUCUUCUACUAUCUUUUCAAAAACUUCAGAAGUAUAAGCAAACGCCUUUUUUAACAAAUCAGUAGAGUUAUGAAGUUGUUCCAUAUAUUGCAAGUCAUCAACUUUGUCGCAAGCUCCAAUUAACUCAACCAAAGCAGAUGCUAAUUUUGAUAAAUUCCAAAUAAUAAUAUCAGGUUGGUUGCGAUAUGAAUAUCGCAAAAAUACAUCGUCAUGAUUAGGUGUAAAAGAUGGGUUGUAAACAUCUAAAAAUCCAAAAGGUCCAUAAUCAAUUGAUAGUCCCAGUAUACUGGUAUUAUCAGUAUUCAAAACACCAUUCAUAAAUCCAUAUGCUUGCCAUUUGGCUACAGUUUUAGCAUUUCGAUAUGCAACAUCUCGAAGAAGUUUUUCGUAGCGAUUUCCAGUAUCUCCACCAUGAAAUCCAUCUUUUAAAACGAAAUUUAGACAAUAGUCGGCUAAUUUCCGUAAAGACUCAAUUUGAUUAUUAAUCCCCUGGAGAUCGAAAGUCCCAAUUCUGAUCCAAGAAGGGGCCAUACGGCAAACAACGGCGCAAGGCUCUACAGUCUCACGUUGUGCUACAACACCUUCAAGAUUGGAAAUUGCCAGAGCCUGUGUUGUUGGAAUGCCUAGAGCAUAUAAAGCUUCACAACAUAAAUAUUCUCGAAUGCUAGAUCUUAAAACAGCCUUUCCAUCUGCAAAUCGAGAGUAUGGUGUUCUUCCUGCGCCUUUGACUUGAAUCUCAAAGCGUUUUCCAGUUUCCGGGUUGGUAAGUUCGCAUAAGGAUACUACGCGGCCAUCACCCAACUGACCUGCCCAAUCCCCAAAUUGGUAUCCUCCAUAACAUUGCGCCCAAGGACAACACUUAUUGACAUCAACGUUAGAACCGACAACAAGCUGUUGAAAAGCUUCAGUUUGAGUUUCAGAUUCUUCGAGUCCUAAUGACUUCACGGACGAAGGGCUAUAAGCUAAUAAUUGAGAAUUGGCUUUUAGUGAUGGAGUCAAAUAAGUAAAUAAGCCGCCGCCUUCCACAAAUCGAGGAACAUGUAAGAUUCUGUCAUCAGCCUUUUUCAUUGCCUGUACGGUCGGUACCAGUGGAUCAGGCGGAAGAUUUGAUGUGAACGUUGAGCUGACAGGGAGAUCCUUCAAUUUUUUUGACAUCGUAUUGGUAUAUCGAAUUAAUGUUCUUUGCAUACCAAUGUUUGAUUGUGCCCCAGUGUAAAUUUGCUUACUUUAUUGAUUAUAA